AGAGUUUGAUCCUGGCUCAGGAUGAACGCUGGCUACAGGCUUAACACAUGCAAGUCGAGGGGAACGACGGGAGCUUGCUUCCCGGGCGUCGACCGGCGCACGGGUGAGUAACGCGUAUCCAACCUGCCUCUGACUGAGGGAUAACCCGUCGAAAGUCGGCCUAAUACCUCAUGGCAUCGUCUGCGGGCAUCCAACGACGAUUAAAGAUUUCAUCGGUCAGGGAUGGGGAUGCGUCUGAUUAGCUAGUUGGCGGGGUAACGGCCCACCAAGGCGACGAUCAGUAGGGGUUCUGAGAGGAAGGUCCCCCACAUUGGAACUGAGACACGGUCCAAACUCCUACGGGAGGCAGCAGUGAGGAAUAUUGGUCAAUGGGCGAGAGCCUGAACCAGCCAAGUAGCGUGCAGGAUGACGGCCCUAUGGGUUGUAAACUGCUUUUAUGCGGGAUAAAGUGAGGGACGUGUCCUUCAUUGUAGGUACCGCAUGAAUAAGGACCGGCUAAUUCCGUG
rnacentral:rRNA from 1 species